rnacentral:rRNA from 1 species
UUAAAUCAGUUAUCGUUUAUUUGAUAGUACCUUACUACUUGGAUAACCGUGGUAAUUCUAGAGCUAAUACAUGCUAAAAAUCCCGACUUCGGAAGGGAUGUGUUUAUUAGAUUAAAAACCAAUGCCCUUCGGGGCUCACUGGUGAUUCAUGAUAACCUCUCGAAUCGCAUGGCCUUGCGCCGGCGAUGGUUCAUUCAAAUUUCUGCCCUAUCAACUUUCGAUGGCUGGGUCUUGGCCAGCCAUGGUGACAACGGGUAACGGAGGGUUAGGGCUCGACCCCGGAGAAGAAGCAUGAGAAUCGGCUUCUACAUCCAAGGAAGGCAGCAGGCGCGCAAAUUACCCAAUCCCGACUCGGGGAGGUAGUGACAAUAAAUACUGAUACAGGGCUCUUUUGGGUCUUGUAAUUGGAAUGAGUACAAUUUAAAUCCCUUAACGAGGAACAAUUGGAGGGCAAGUCUGGUGCCAGCAGCCGCGGUAAUUCCAGCUCCAAUAGCGUAUAUUAAAGUUGUUGCAGUUAAAAAGCUCGUAGUUGAACCUUGGGCCUGGCUGGCCGGUCCGCCUCACCGCGUGCACUGGUCCGGCCGGGCCUUUCCCUCUGGGGAACCGCAUGUCCUUCACUGGGCGUGCUGGGGAACCAGGACUUUUACUUUGAAAAAAUUAGAGUGUUCAAAGCAGGCCUAUGCUCGAAUACAUUAGCAUGGAAUAAUAGAAUAGGACGUGCGGUUCUAUUUUGUUGGUUUCUAGGACCGCCGUAAUGAUUAAUAGGGACAGUCGGGGGCAUCAGUAUUCAAUUGUCAGAGGUGAAAUUCUUGGAUUUAUUGAAGACUAACUACUGCGAAAGCAUUUGCCAAGGAUGUUU